GCUGGCGGCGUGCCUAAGGUAUGCAAGUCGAACGAGCACUUCGGUGCUAGUGGCGGACGGGUGAGUAACACGUUGGAACCUGCCUUCAAGUGGGGCAUAGCUCCGGGAAACCGGAAUUAAUACCCCAUAUGUCUUCGGAUGAAAGAUUUAUCGCUUGAAGAGGGUCCUACGGCCGAUUAGCUAGUUGGUAGGGUAAUGGCCUACCAAGGCAAUGAUCGGUAGCUGGUCUGAGAGGAUGAUCAGCCACACUGGAACUGAGACACGGUCCAGACCCCUACGGGGGGCAGCAACUGGGAAUCUUGCGCAAUGGACGAAAGUCUGACGCAGCAACGCCGCGUGCAGGAUGACGGCCUUCGGGUUGUAAACUGCUUUUAUGUGGGAAGAUUAUGACGGUACCACAUGAAUAAGGAUUGGCUAACUCCGUGCCAGCAGCCGCGGUCAUACGGAGGAUCCAAGCGUUACCCGGAAUUAUUGGGCGUAAAGAGUUACGUAGGUGGUCUGUUAAGUGAAAUGCGAAACCGCAGGGCUCAACCCUGCGCCGGUAUUUCAUACUGGCAGACUUGAGGAUGGUAGAGGUGAGUGGAAUUGCUGGUGUAGGAGUGAAAUCCGUAGAUAUCAGCAGGAACACCAAUGGCGAAGGCAGCUCACUGGGCCAUUCCUGACACUGAGGUACGAAAGCGUGGGGAGCGAACCGGAUUAGAUACCCGGGUAGUCCACGCCGUAAACGAU
rnacentral:rRNA from 1 species